rnacentral:tRNA from 1 species
GCUCCAGUGGCCGAGUGGCCCGAGGCACCAGGCUUCCAACCUGGCGACAGGGGUUCGAUUCCCCUCUGGAGCU